rnacentral:rRNA from 1 species
GACGUAGGGCGCGAGCGUUGUCCGGAUUUAUUGGGCGUAAAGAGCUCGUAGGCGGCUUGUCGCGUCGGCUGUGAAAACCCGCGGCUCAACUGUGGGCGGGCAGCUGAUACGGGCAGGCUGGAGUUCGGUAGGGGAGACUGGAAUUCCUGGUGUAGCGGUGAAAUGCGCAGAUAUCAGGAGGAACACCGGUGGCGAAGGCGGAUCUCUGGGACGGUACUGACGCUGAGACGCGAAAGCGUGGGGAGCGAACAGG